rnacentral:rRNA from 1 species
GACAGAGGGUGCGAACGUUGUUCGGAAUUACUGGGCGUAAAGCGCAUGUAGGCGGCAGCGCAAGUCGGGCGUGAAAUCCCACGGCUCAACCGUGGAAGUGCACUCGAAACUGCGCAGCUAGAGUCCUGGAGAGGAAGGUGGAAUGCUUGGUGUAGAGGUGAAAUUCGUAGAUAUCAAGCGGAACACCGGUGGCGAAGGCGGCCUACUGGACAGUCGACUGACGCUGAGAGUGCGAAACG